AACCUUAGACCUCAUUCAACAUCAUCCAAUGUUGCAAUCCCCCUCAGGAGCCCAGUGCCCGAUGUGCACAGGAACAUUUCCAGUGUCAGAAGUAGAACUGCCAUACCAGCCUUUGUGGAGAAAGGCUCUCCAAGGAAGGUGAUUUUCAAGGGACAGACAGGGCUUCCUGUUUUUGACGUUUCCACAACUUCAGACUUGUUAUCUCGUGACAGAUUUCAGAUGUCUUUGUGGUGUUUAUCUGUGCUGCUGCAUGACCAAUCAUAUCCU